rnacentral:rRNA from 1 species
ACGCUCGACACCUACGGGGAGGCAGCAGUUGGGAAUAUUGGACAAUGGAGGAAACUCUGAUCCAGUGACGCCGCGUGAAGGAAGAAGGUCUUCGGAUUGUAAACUUNUUUUGUCAGGGAAGAAAAAUGACUGUACCUGAAAGAAAAAGCACCGGCUAACUACGUGCCAGUAGCCGCGGUAAUCUGAGGCGGGCUGGCAAGGC